rnacentral:rRNA from 1 species
GAUGAACGCUAGCGGCAGGCUUAACACAUGCAAGUCGAGGGGUAGAAGGAGCUUGCUCCUUUGAGACCGGCGCACGGGUGCGUAACGCGUAUGCAAUCUACCUUUUGCAGAGGGAUAGCCCAGAGAAAUUUGGAUUAAUACCUCAUAGUAUGUGAGGAUGGCAUCAUUUUCACAUUAAAGUCACAACGGCAAAAGAUGAGCAUGCGUCCCAUUAGCUAGUUGGUAAGGUAACGGCUUACCAAGGCUACGAUGGGUAGGGGUCCUGAGAGGGAGAUCCCCCACACUGGUACUGAGACACGGACCAGACUCCUACGGGAGGCAGCAGUGAGGAAUAUUGGACAAUGGGCGCAAGCCUGAUCCAGCCAUGCCGCGUGCAGGAUGACGGUCCUAUGGAUUGUAAACUGCUUUUGUACAGGAAGAAACACUACUUCGUGAAGUAGCUUGACGGUACUGUAAGAAUAAGGAUCGGCU